UACGAAGGGGGCUAGCGUUGCUCGGAAUCACUGGGCGUAAAGCGCACGUAGGCGGCAUCUUAAGUCGGUGGUGAAAUCCUGGAGCUCAACUCCAGAACUGCCUCCGAUACUGAGGUGCUUGGGUCCGGGAGAGGUGAGUGGAACUGCGAGUGUAGAGGUGAAAUUCGUAGAUAUUCGCAAGAACACCAGUGGCGAAGGCGGCUCACUGGCCCGGUACUGACGCUGAGGUGCGAAAGCGUGGGGAGCAAACAGG
rnacentral:rRNA from 1 species